AACGAACGCUGGCGGCAUGCCUAACACAUGCAAGUCGAACGAGACCUUCGGGUCUAGUGGCGCACGGGUGCGUAACGCGUGGGAACCUGCCCUUAGGUUCGGCAUAACUCCCCGAAAGGGGUGCUAAUACCGGAUCAUGUCUUCCGACCAAAGAUUUAUCGCCUUUGGAUGGGCCCGCGUGGGAUUAGCUAGUUGGUAGGGUAAAAGCCUACCAAGGCGACGAUCCAUAGCUGGCCUGAGAGGAUGAGCAGCCACACUGGGACUGAGACACGGCCCAGACUCCUACGGGAGGCAGCAGUGGGGAAUAUUGGACAAUGGGCGAAAGCCUGAUCCAGCAAUGACGCGUGAGUGAUGAAGGCCUUAGGGUUGGAAAGCUCUUUUACCCGGGAUGAUAAUGACAGUACCGGGAGAAUAAGCUCCGGCUAACUCCGUG
rnacentral:rRNA from 1 species